rnacentral:pre_miRNA from 1 species
AAUCGGGUCGAGAAGUUUUGCAUGUGUAGCUGAGCAGAGGUAUUUUUAAUUUUUCAAUAUUGUCAGAUAUGUAUAACUUUCCAUUACAUAAUAUUUUUCUUACUUAUAUUGUAGAACUUGUUCGUCGGGUC